rnacentral:lncRNA from 1 species
AAAAAAGUAUAUUAAAUCACAUUUACAUCAUAUCAUUAAUUAUAUAUUUUUAUUUUUAUGAAAUAUAAUAAUAAUUUUUAUUAAUUAUGAUGGAACUUAUUAAUUUUUUUAAAAAAAAUUAUUUAUUUGAAAUAUCAUCUAUUNUUUACCACAUGACAGAUUGUUCUUCACUCUUAUCAUCAUUUGAUCCUUUUCAUUUUCUUUAUCAAACUUUCAAUUAAUACAUUUAAUUAAUAUAUAUCUAAACGUUAUCAUUACCAAACUUUCAAGUUGUCCACCCUUUCUUUUUAAACUUUCAAUUAAUACAUUUAAUUAAUAUAUCUAAACGUUACCAUUAUCAAACCUUCAAUGUUAAGUUGUCCUUCACCACAUACGCCCCUUCCCUUUUCAAAACUUUUAAUUAAUAUAUUUAAUUAAUACAUCUAAACAUUUUUAGUACCAAAUUCUUCCUCCAUAUUUUUCAUAUUUAAUUAAUUAAUCAAUUCUCUUUCUCAUCUUUUCUUAUAUACUGUUGCCUCCCUCUCUCCCUUCCUUA